rnacentral:rRNA from 1 species
GCUCAGAACUUAAAGGAAUUGACGGGGGCCCGCACAAGCGGUGGAGUAUGUGGUUUAAUUCGAUGCAACGCGAAGAACCUUACCUGGUCUUGACAUCCCGGAGACCCUUAGGAAACUAGGGGGUGCUUCCAUCUGGAAGAAUCUGGAGACAGGUGCUGCAUGGCUGUCGUCAGCUCGUGUCGUGAGAUGUUGGGUUAAGUCCCGCAACGAGCGCAACCCUUGCCUUUAGUUGCCAGCAGUUCGGCUGGGCACUCUAAAGGGACUGCCGGUGUUAAACCGGAGGAAGGUGGGGAUGACGUCAAGUCCUCAUGGCCUUUAUGACCAGGGCUACACACGUACUACAAUGGCCGAUACAAAGGGCAGCGACACUGCGAGGUGAAGCCAAUCCCGUAAAAUCGGUCUCAGUCCGGAUUGGAGUCUGCAACUCGACUCCAUGAAGUUGGAAUCGCUAGUAAUCGUGGAUCAGCAUGCCACGGUGAAUACGUUCCCGGGCCUU